rnacentral:rRNA from 1 species
UACGGAGGGUGCAAGCGUUAUCCGGAUUUACUGGGUUUAAAGGGUGCGUAGGCGGCCAACUAAGUCAGACGUGAAAUCCCUCAGCUUAACUGGGGAACUGCGUCUGAUACUGGAUGGCUUGGAUUCGGGAGAGGAAUGCGGAAUUCCAGGUGUAGCGGUGAAAUGCGUAGAUAUCUGGAGGAACACCGGUGGCGAAGGCGGCAUUCUGGACCGACAUUGACGCUGAGGAGCGAAAGCCAGGGGAGCAAACGGG